AUUAUUUUGUAUCCAGAGCUUGUGGUGACAACACUUAUAACAUGGAUUGUAGAAUUUUCGCGUGGUAGUCAAAGGAAUACCAUGUGACCCCCGGCAUCGCCUGGAAGCAUGGUGGACUGGUCAGCCUGAUGCAGAUGGGACGACAUAAAUAUGCACUAUAACGGAAUUAUUCACUAAUGGGUUACAUAUUUUUUCGGAUCAUGUAAUUGUCUAAACGCCUUAACGCAUAUUUAUGUAUUUUAUUAUACACAAAAUAUAACUUAUCUUACAAAUAAGUAGAACAUUAACGAGAGUUGGUAAUCAUGAAAAAUACAAAGCAAGCAUUUUCAAUAUUCUCAAAAAUUUCAUGAACUAUCAAAAAGAUUUGUGAACUCUUGCAUGUAAAAAUGCAUUCCCAAGUGAUAAAACUAGUUCAUGAAUUACACUUACAUUGAACAAAUAAUUUUAUUAAUUAAAAUUUUUCUAUCAAGUUUAAUAAAAAAAAAUGGUUAAAAUGCCUAAAUAAAGAAAAAUAUGCUCUUGUAUAUGAAAUGUAACAAAUGUAAUAUCACUAAGUUUCAAUCAACAAAAUAGUCGUAGUGAGACAUGCUUACAACAAUAACUGUAUUAUAUUGUAUAAACAUGAAGAAAGAUUUAAAAAGGUUAAAAUUAAUUGAUUAAUAUUAAGAUUGACUAUAUACAAAAUUAAAAUAUUUCUAAAAUCGAGGUAGCAUUGAGUACCUGGGAGGUGUCUUCACAUCACUCGAAAUAAACGUUUCCAAUAACAAUGUAAAUUAGACUAUAUAAAAUACACCGAUAUGUUACUAAACAAUAUUUAUAUUCAUGAA